GACGAACGCUGGCGGCGUGCUUAACACAUGCAAGUCGAACGCUGAAGCUUGGUGCUUGCACUGGGUGGAUGAGUGGCGAACGGGUGAGUAAUACGUGAGUAACCUGCCCUUGACUCUGGGAUAAGCCUGGGAAACCGGGUCUAAUACUGGAUAUGACAUGCCACUGCAUGGUGGUGUGUGGAAAGGGUGUUCCUGGUUUUGGCUGGGCUCACGGCCUAUCAGCUUGUUGGUGGGGUAAUGGCCUACCAAGGCGACGACGGGUAGCCGGCCUGAGAGGGUGACCGGCCACACUGGGACUGCGACACGGACCAGACUCCUACGGUAGGCAGCAGUGGGGAGUAUUGCGCAAUGGGCGGAAGCGUGAUGCAGCGACGCCGCGUGCGGGAUGACGGCCUUCGGGUUGUAAACCUCUUUCAGCGCGGAAGAAGCGAGAGUGACGGUACGUGAAGAAGAAGCGCCGGCUAACUACGUG
rnacentral:rRNA from 1 species